CCCAUGUCUAAGUAUCAUUGAUUGUUCUAGUGUACUGAAGCAUAGAGUAGAACAAAGAUAACUAAGCUUUAGAAUUAUCUAGCUACAUGAAUGACUUUUAUAGUGUAUCAAAUGCUAAGUUACCUCUGUUCUAUUUUAUGAAUAUUUAGAGUUGUGAAUUGCAUAGCAACAAUGUAACUAACUUUGCCAAAUUUAUCUAUAUUAUACAAAUUAAUAUGUUCUGUGUGUUUGAAUUGUACAAUACCUAUUGUGAGAUAACAGCUGUCCUGAGAGCUUUUAAAAUAUCAUUUGCCAGCAAGGCAAGAAGCUCUAUUAAACCCUUGUCCCAUUAAGCAGAUUCUAUUUACAUCCAAAUAAACAGCAACUUGCGAAUAUUGUUGCAAUUUACGAAGUUCCAACUUUGUGAAAAUUGUGAACUUUUGUCGUCUAUUUCAGGCUUCUAGCCUUCCAAGUUUACUCAUAUAAGAUGACUUUCGGUUUAUUAAGUCUGGUUGAUGGGAAAACUAUUAAGUUUCAUCGAAAAAAUGAAGAAAAUAUGCACAAAAUCGAUGAAAUUAUUUCCAAUACGCUCCCAA